AUAUAUAUAUAUUUUCUUUUCUGAUAUUAUUUUUAUUGGAGAACGAGAUUCAAGCAAUAAAAUAUAUACUAUUUUUAUUACAUAUGAUAUAUCGAAACACGCCAAAAAUAAUUUUUGCUCGGAUUUUGACAAGAAUCAUAAUUGUCCAAAGAAACUUUGCCAAAAAGAAAAAAUGCAUAUUUUUUAUAAAUAAUACGUUUCGUAAGAAUAAUAUGGAUCUGUAUCUUACAUAGGAUAUUAUGUUCCACAUAUACAUAUAUCUUACGUAAGCGCAUAAAUUAUUUCAAACGAUAAAAUAAAAAUAGAUAAAUGUCAGGAACGCUUCUUAUACCUUGCUCAAUUUGAUUAUGAUUCUUCUAAUAUGUGUGUAUGUUCUAAAGAAAUCAUGAAUAUACAUCACACACACACACACACACACACACACACACACACACACACACACACACAGAUAGACUUUUUUUAACGGUUACUGUUCUACGCGUCGGUAAAUAUGCCGAUAACAUAAUCGAUUAGUAUUGUAUUUGACCGAAGGUGAUUAAGAUGACAAAGCGCUGAGUAUGAUACGAACAAAAUAAACGCGUAUUUCCGCGUUUUAAUCAAGGUCGCAAACACGCGUAGCGAACAGAUAGCAACAUAUAUACUAUAUAUCUCGCUGUCGCUGUACGCAUGCGCGAAUUAGCUAGCACGGGAUUUGUUUGACAAAUAACGAAGUACACUUCGGUCAAUCGUAGUUGCGAGUGUCUUCUCAGUAGACAAAGUUCUGUGCUUAAUUUUAAUUUGACAGUCGAGCAAAAAGAAUAUGCAGCGAAAGUUUUAAAUGAGACCGACGAGAAUAGAAAAAACGCUAUAGCGGAGAUUAAACGUUGGAUUCAAGAGAGUGAUUUGCGGGCACGAACUGCGAGGUCCAUCCCGUAUCGCCCUGUGCUUUGGACGCGAAACUAAAUCGGAAAUAGGUUUGGGUUAGGUUAUAUCUUCCGGAAGUGAAACCCCCCCCGUAGGGGGGGGGGGCGGAACCCACUGUGUCUACAUUAUCAGACGUACUUAAGAGUUGGCCAUAAGAGACAGCGUGGAAACUUCCUUGUAUGGUUCCGUAAUAAUUGCAGAUUUGGGACAUAUAACUUUGCAUCAUAUUGCUCAAAUGCGACCUCGCAUUGUAAUGAACGCGCUCUACGCGUGGCAGGGUUGCUAC